rnacentral:rRNA from 1 species
GACGAACGCUGGCGGCGUGCUUAACACAUGCAAGUCGAACGGAAAGGCCCUGCUUUUGUGGGGUGCUCGAGUGGCGAACGGGUGAGUAACACGUGAGUAACCUGCCCUUGACUUUGGGAUAACUUCAGGAAACUGGGGCUAAUACCGGAUAGGAGCUCCUGCUGCAUGGUGGGGGUUGGAAAGUUUCGGCGGUUGGGGAUGGACUCGCGGCUUAUCAGCUUGUUGGUGGGGUAGUGGCUUACCAAGGCUUUGACGGGUAGCCGGCCUGAGAGGGUGACCGGCCACAUUGGGACUGAGAUACGGCCCAGACUCCUACGGGAGGCAGCAGUGGGGAAUAUUGCACAAUGGGCGGAAGCCUGAUGCAGCAACGCCGCGUGCGGGAUGACGGCCUUCGGGUUGUAAACCGCUUUCGCCUGUGACGAAGCGUGAGUGACGGUAAUGGGUAAAGAAGCACCGGCUAACUACGUGCCAGCAGCCGCGGUGAUACGUAGGGUGCGAGCGUUGUCCGGAUUUAUUGGGCGUAAAGGGCUCGUAGGUGGUUGAUCGCGUCGGAAGUGUAAUCUUGGGGCUUAACCCUGAGCGUGCUUUCGAUACGGGUUGACUUGAGGAAGGUAGGGGAGAAUGGAAUUCCUGGUGGAGCGGUGGAAUGCGCAGAUAUCAGGAGGAACACCAGUGGCGAAGGCGGUUCUCUGGGCCUUUCCUGACGCUGAGGAGCGAAAGCGUGGGGAGCGAACAGGCUUAGAUACCCUGGUAGUCCACGCUGUAAACGGUGGGUACUAGGUGUGGGGUCCAUUCCACGGGUUCCGUGCCGUAGCUAACGCUUUAAGUACCCCGCCUGGGGAGUACGGCCGCAAGGCUAAAACUCAAAGGAAUUGACGGGGCCCCGCACAAGCGGCGGAGCAUGCGGAUUAAUUCGAUGCAACGCGUAGAACCUUACCUGGGUUUGACAUGGAUCGGGAGCGCUCAGAGAUGGGUGUGCCUCUUUUGGGGUCGGUUCACAGGUGGUGCAUGGCUGUCGUCAGCUCGUGUCGUGAGAUGUUGGGUUAAGUCCCGCAACGAGCGCAACCCUUGUUCACUGUUGCCAGCACGUUAUGGUGGGGACUCAGUGGAGACCGCCGGGGUCAACUCGGAGGAAGGUGGGGAUGACGUCAAGUCAUCAUGCCCCUUAUGUCCAGGGCUUCACGCAUGCUACAAUGGCUGGUACAGAGAGUGGCGAGCCUGUGAGGGUGAGCGAAUCUCGGAAAGCCGGUCUCAGUUCGGAUUGGGGUCUGCAACUCGACCUCAUGAAGUCGGAGUCGCUAGUAAUCGCAGAUCAGCAACACUGCGGUGAAUACGUUCCCGGGGCU